AUGUGGUUUAAUUCGAUGCAACGCGAAGAACCGUUUACCUGGGUUUGACAUGCUAGUGGUAAUGAAGCGAAAGCUAAGUGACCCGCAAGGAGCUAGCACAGGUGCUGCAUGGCUGUCGUCAGCUCGUGUCGUGAGAUGUUCGGUUAAGUCCGCUAACGAGCGCAACCCUCGCUGUGUGUUACAAGUGUCACACAGGACCGCCGGGUCUUUAAAGCCGGAGGAAGUGGGGAUGACGUCAAGUCAGCAUGGCCUUUAUGUCCAGGGCUACACACACGCUACAAUGGUCAGCACAAUAGGUAGCCAAGCCGCGAGGUGGAGCCAAUCCUCAAAGCUGGCCUCAGUUCAGAUCGCAGGCUGCAACCCGCCUGCGUGAAGCCGGAGUUGCUAGUAACCGCAGGUCAGCUAUACUGCGGUGAAUACGUUCCCGGGGCUU
rnacentral:rRNA from 1 species